GAUGAACGCUGGCGGCGUGCUUAACACAUGCAAGUCGAACGGAGUCAUCAUUUUUGAAGCAAUUAGCUUGCUAAGGGUGGAAAUGUUGGUGACUUAGUGGCGGACGGGUGAGUAACGCGUGGGUAACCUGCCAUAUACAGGGGGAUAACACUUAGAAAUAGGUGCUAAUACCGCAUAAACGCACAGGACCGCAUGGCCUGGAGUGAAAAACAUUAGUGGUAUAUGAUGGACCCGCGUCUGAUUAGCUGGUGGGUGAGGUAACGGCCCACCAAGGCGACGAUCAGUAGCCGGCCUGAGAGGGUGGACGGCCACAUUGGGACUGAGACACGGCCCAA
rnacentral:rRNA from 1 species